rnacentral:rRNA from 1 species
UACGUAGGGGGCAAGCGUUGUCCGGAUUUAUUGGGCGUAAGGAGCGUGUAGGCGGUUUGGUAGGUCCGCUGUGAAAACUCGAGGCUCAACCUCGAGACGCCGGUGGAAACCAUCAGACUAGAGUCCGGAAGAGGAGAGUGGAAUUCCUGGUGUAGCGGUGAAAUGCGCAGAUAUCAGGAAGAACACCCGUGGCUAAGGCGGCUCUCUAGUACGGUACUGACGCUGAGACGCGAAAGCGUGGGGAGCGAACAGG